rnacentral:lncRNA from 10 species
CUUUUGGUUAUAGAAAAAUAUAUCAUUACUACUUUUUAGAAACCUCAGAAAUAGACGACUACUACUUCUUAAAAAAAAGGGAGUUUUUGGAAAACUAAAGGAGUUCGCAGGGUCAUACAUCAUCUUUUUCUUUCAUCUUGAAAACUAAGAAACGAAGAAAAAUUGGAUCAUGGAAAUACAGGAAUUUACAUCAGCUCAUUUGGCAGAAUGCUGAAGCCUUACUGGUCUGAGGUGUCAGAGGUCAGAGCCUGAGACUGACAGAGGAGCCACAGGUGACCAGCAAACUGCAGAAGCUCUGGGGAGAACUCCAUGGAGUCAGGCUAAAAACAGCAGCAACCAGAAACUGUAAGAACUGAGCAGAGAUACCAGCUGCACCACUAGAGAGACAAAGUGUGUAGCUCACUGCCUAGUACAGCAAAAUAGCCACAAUCCUCAGAAGGACACAACAGAAUCUGGAAUCACUAGAAAGUAUUAUCUACAAUGCUCAUUCUUAACCAUGCAAAGAAGAAACAGGAAAGUGUGAUUCAAAGUCAGAAAAAAGUCAGUCAAUAGAAAUCUACUCUGUUAGGGACAGGUGUUGGUGAAUUAAGUAAUUAGAGACUCUAAAGCAGCUAUGAUAAAUAUGUUCACAGAGGAAAGCUCAAUAGAGAAAUGAAACUUCAAACAUGGAAAUUUAAGACUUGAAAAGUACAAAAACUAGAAAGAAAAAUUUACUAGGUGGACCAAACGGCAGAUUAGAGAUGCCAAAAUUGCAUAAAUUGAACAGAGAUCAAAAGACGUUAUUUAAUCUAAAAAAUUGAAGAAAAAUGAGCAGAGCCUUAGAGUCCUGUAAAAUAUCAAGCAAGAUAACAUAUAUGUAAUUGGGUUCCGGAGGGAGAGAAGGAAUGGAAAAAAAUAUUUGCAUAAAUAAUGACUGAAAAAUUCCAUGAUUGGCAGAAAACACUAAUUUACAGAUCUAAGAAGGUCAAGCACCCCAAGCAGGAUAUAUAAUUAUAUCACUUCCAUGCAGAAGAGAAAUGCAGAAAGCCAAAGAUAAAGAGCAAAGUGUUGAAAGCAGCCAAAGAAAAGUGACACAUCACGUACAGGAAAAUAGUUCAGCUCAAUGGCUGAAUUUUCAUCAGAAAUACUGGCAUUCAGAAGAAAUUUAAAAAUGCUGAAAACAAAACUAGCAGCCAAGAAUUUUGUAUCAAGCAAAAAUGUCUUUUCAAAAUUAAAGGCAAAAGGAAGCAACUUCCAGAUAAAUUUAAAAGACAGAAUUUAUGCCAUUAUAUUUACACUGUAAGAAAUGCUAAAUGAGGUUCUUCAGGUUGAAGGGAAAUGACCCUGAUGACAACAUGGAUCUACAGGAAAAAAUGAAAAGCAUCAGAAAUCAUACAUAUGUGAGUAAAUAUAAAAUACUAAAUAUUGAUAGAUGAAUAUAUGGAUAGGUACUACACAAACACAUAUGAACAUAUAAUUCUUAAUAUCUUAACACAUGAUAUAGGACUCUUCAAAACAAAAAAUUAUUACAUUGUAUUGUUGGGUUUGUAAUGGACACAGAUAUAAAAUAUGUAACAAUAUUAAGAGUAGGAAAAGUAGAGAUACAUUGUUAAAAGGUUCUAGUAUUUUACUUGAAGUAGUUCAAUAUUAACUCUAGACUAUUAUAAGUUAAAGUUAAGUUGCGUAUUGUAAUCACUACAGCAACCACUAAAAAUAGAACAAAGAAAUACGGCAAAAAAGCCAAGAGACGAAUUAAAAUGUAACACUAAAGAAAAAAAAAAAACACUACGGGGGGCCGGGUGCAGUGGCUCAUGCCUGUAGUCCCAGCACUUUGGGAAGCCAAGGCAGGAGGAUCACCUGAGGUCAGGAGUUCGAGACUAGCCUGGCCAACAUGGUGAAACCCCUCCCCCCAACCAAAAAUACAAAAAUUAGCUGGAUGUGGUGGCACGUGCCUGUAAUCCCAGCUAGUUGGGAGGCUGAGUAGGAAAAUCACUUGAACCCAGGAGGCAGAAAUUGCAGUGAGCAGAGAUCGUGCCACUGCUCUCCAGCCUGGGUGACAGAGCAAGGCUCCAUCUCAAAAAAAAAAAAAAAAAUUAACACUACAAAAGGCAGGAAGAGAGGAACUGUGGAAUAAAACAGAUCAGACAAAUAUAAAUGGGAAGCUUAACUAUAACCAAAUCAAUAAUCAUAUGAUAAUUGAAAACUAAUCAAAAGGUAAUUAAGUGGAAACUGACAUAUUAAUAUGUGUUCAGUCCAUAUACAUAUAUUAUCUCUUUAGUUCCUUUUAAAAAGUGUUUUAUAUUUUUCAGUGUAUAGAUUUUGCAAAAAGUUUGGUAAAUUUAUCCCCAUGUAGUUCAUAUUUUAGGAAGGUAUUAUAAGUUCAAUUGUACUUUUGCUGUUUUGUUCAUUGCUCACAUAUAGAAAUAUGAUAAAUUUUUAUGUAUUGAACUUUCAUCCUUUGACCUCGAUAGAUCUAUUUAUUAGUUCUAGUAAGUUUCUGUAGUCUUCUUAAGAUUUUCUGUAUAAAUGGUCAUGCAAUCUGAAUAAAUACAGUUUUACGGCUUCCU